AGCGAACGCUGGCGGCAGGCCUAACACAUGCAAGUCGAACGAACCUUUCGGGGUUAGUGGCGGACGGGUGAGUAACACGUGGGAACGUGCCUUUAGGUUCGGAAUAACUCAGGGAAACUUGUGCUAAUACCGAAUGUGUCCUUCGGGGGAAAGAUUUAUCGCCUUUAGAGCGGCCCGCGUCUGAUUAGCUAGUUGGUUGAGGUAAUGGCUCACCAAGGCGACGAUCAGUAGCUGGUCUGAGAGGAUGAUCAGCCACAUUGGGACUGAGACACGGCCCAAACUCCUACGGGAGGCAGCAGUGGGGAAUCUUGCGCAAUGGGCGAAAGCCUGACGCAGCCAUGCCGCGUGAAUGAUGAAGGUCUUAGGAUUGUAAAAUUCUUUCACCGGGGACGAUAAUGACGGUACCCGGAGAAGAAGCCCCGGCUAACUUCGUG
rnacentral:rRNA from 1 species